rnacentral:lncRNA from 1 species
AGGUGAGGACCUCAUCGAGGUAGGGGUUGGGCGGUGGAGAAGGGAGAGUGGCGGGGUAGCUUAGGGAAGCUUGUGAGCCAAUCAGCACACAAUGUGCCAGAGUGUGGGCGUGGACUGAGGGAAGAAGUGAAAAACACAGCCUGCAACGGUGCCUCAACAGUACCCCCAUUUGAAAUUUCGCCGGCUCCUGAGCAGACUGGGGGUCUGGCGGGCUUUUGACAUAGAUUGUCAAGAUUGUUUCAAUUAUACACUUGCAGUUAUUGAGGCUGAGAGAGGUGAAGCACCUUGCCUAAGGUCAUACAGCCAGUGUUCGAGCCCAGAAAGGUUGCUCAAUCGCAGAUGGACCAAUGGUGAAAGCACACCUGAACAAAGGAAAAGCAGACAUAUUUAUCCCUUACACAUUUGGGUUGUCCUUACUGCUGUGUCCUGCAUCCAUUGGCUGGAGCGGAACCUCACACUCUUAAACUGAUACCCAAUUUGCUAAUAGCCUAAAACUUCCUAAAUAGCUGCUAAGAAGACCGCAGCAGCCUUCAUAAGUUGUAUCUUCCCCUUUACUGAAGAAUCACCAGUCACCUACAGUUGCACAGCAAGCAUGGGAAAAUAACUGAAAUUUUGAUGUGCCAUUUCUCACUUCUUUAAGAACCCUCCUUCAAAUUCCUGAAUAAAGCUGCUAACUAAGACAAAUGAAUUUUAAAAGUUUGAGACUUAAAUACCUCUCUACUAAAAGGGAAAUGGAUAAAAAGAUGCUGACUGCCAGGCUGGUUUCGGAUCCUUUGUAUUCUGUCAG